rnacentral:rRNA from 1 species
UACGGAGGGGGCAAGCGUUAUUCGGAAUUACUGGGCGUAAAGCGCGCGCAGGUGGUUCGGCAAGUGGCAGGUGAAAGCCCUUGGCUCAACCGAGGAAUUGCCUGCCAAACUGCUGAGCUUGAGGCUGGGAGGGGAGAGCGGAAUUCCUGGUGUAGCGGUGAAAUGCGUAGAUACCAGGAGGAACACCGGUGGCGAAGGCGGCUCUCUGGACCAGUUCUGACACUCAUGCGCGAAAGCGUGGGGAGCAAACAGGAUUAGAAACCCCAGUAGUCC